rnacentral:rRNA from 1 species
GACGAACGCUGGCGGCGUGCCUAACACAUGCAAGUCGAGCGGGGAUAUACGGAAGGUUUACCGGAAGUAUAUCCUAGCGGCGGACGGGUGAGUAACGCGUGGGUAACCUACCUCAUACAGGGGGAUAACACAGGGAAACCUGUGCUAAUACCGCAUAACAUAACGGGGCGGCAUCGUCCUGUUAUCAAAGGAGAAAUCCGGUAUGAGAUGGGUCCGCGUCCGAUUAGCUGGUUGGUGAGGUAACGGCUCACCAAGGCGACGAUCGGUAGCCGAACUGAGAGGUUGGUCGGCCACAUUGGGACUGAGACACGGCCCAGACUCCUACGGGAGGCAGCAGUGGGGAAUAUUGCGCAAUGGGGGAAACCCUGACGCAGCGACGCCGCGUGAGCGAAGAAGGCCUUGGUCGUAAGACUCGAUAGUGUGGGAAGAAUAGAUGACGGUACCACACGAAGACCCGGCGUAACUACGUGC